UCCAUCACUCACCUCACCCUGUUUUACAUUAAUCCAUGCAUAUUUUACAAUAAUUCGUAGUAUUUUUAUGAAUUCAAUCAAAUACUUACUAGAGGAGGGAGAAUCGGAUAUCGGACUUGACGUGCAUGGGCGAGUGUUCUUGACUCUUGGACACAAAGCUCCCUCGCUAGUGUUAACCGAUAUUCUUACUCAUAGCUGUCAUAUUAUAAAAUCAUUGUUUUAUGUCUGCAUACAGCGCUAAGUUAUUAAACGGUUGACUAUUUUUGCCACGAGUGUUGGCAAACAUUAAUAAUUUGCUAAAAGGAAUCACAUGCAAUCAUGCGUAAGUCUUUUUUAUGAACAAGAAAAGCCAUAAAGGCGGCGGUGAUGCAAUCUGAACAUAACUUUUUUGGUUACACGUGAGACUAGCAAAAGGAAAAAUGGAUGUAAUAUAUGUAAACGACUCAAACCAUAGGAAGCCUUUGUCCAAAACCAUGGGAAACCCGUUUGUUACUUUUAUAAUCGCUUAGUUACAUUAUAUAUAUAUAUAUAUAUAAGUGGUUAUGAUUCGCAGACAUAAAUUUUAACAUUCAUAUUGUAUGAUCCACUUCGUAACAUAUUUGUUUACUAUCAAUUGUACUAAAUGAAUGUUUUAUAUUUUAUUUGUUUAGGCCGAAAAUGGUACUUUGGUUUAUUCCAAAAAUGGCAGUUUGUCUUUUAGGAGGCGGAUAAAUGCACCUCCCCUGGCCUGAAUUGGCAGAUUGGUUUAGGCACCGAGUUACUAUUAUAAAUGUAUGUGUAUAAAAGUGGAGAAGACAAAUCAGUCGCAGACCUUCGCUUCUUCUCUUUUUCGACCAAUCCCAUGUUUGCUUCUCCCCUUGGGAAAGGGAAUAAUAAUAAUAAUAAUAAUAAUAAUAAUAACAACAACAACAAAAUAAUAAUGAAAACAUCGUAUGAACGCUGUAAUUUGUGUGGACGGUCUUAAACAUAAUGAGCAAUCCAUCACUUGUAAAAACUUAUUUAUGGAAUACAAAGUAAAAAACAAUUGGUCU